GACAGUUGUGGCAAGGUGGUAGCUCACGCGACUUUGAUUCGUCAGGUCGUGGGUUCGAGACCCACCACAGUCU